ensembl:snRNA U6 U6 spliceosomal RNA
AUGCUUGCUUUGGCAACACAUAUAUUAAAUUAGAAUGAUACAGAGAAGAUUAGUAUGGACCCCGCACAAGGAUGACAUGCAAAUACAUGAUGUGUUCCAUAUUAAA